GUUCAGUGCCAUGGAAGUUGAGACUCUGGUGCGGUACCAGUUGCCAGUGAUUGUGAUAGUUUUUAACAAUGGCGGUGUAUAUGGUGGCGACCGGAGAACACCACAAGAAAUUACCGGACCUUAUAAGCACGAUCCUGCACCAACCUCCUUUGUCCCAUCAGCAAAUUAUCACAAAAUGAUUGAGGCUUUUGGAGGUAAAGGAUACUAUGUUGAAACACCCGAGGAACUAAAAUCUGCA
rnacentral:misc_RNA from 1 species